AAUCAACUAUUUUAAGAAUUCAAAAAAUUAAUCUAGAAUUCAAAAUUUGUUAUGUUAUUUUCUAAUAUUUGAUCACAAUCAAAUCUUUGGUUAAGAAAAUUUUAAAACAAAGAUAAAAUAAGGCCAAAAGUGCUCUCCAUAGUGUCCUAGAGAGAGUGGUAACUGCCGCAGCUUAGGAUGGAGGAGGGUGCUGGCGAGAAGAGGGAAAGCAAUGAGGAGAUAUCCUUGCAUGCAAAAGAACUCAUUCAAUUAUGAGUAAAGAGUUCAAUGGUGAUGCCAAACGAUAAAUCGACUUCGAUCUUCUUAGUUUGGACAAAAAAGUCUUUCAAUCCAGAAAGCUUUAGGACACAGAUGAAAAGCAUAUGGAAAACAAAGAAAAAGUUUGAGAUUCAAUUGGCAGGACAAAAUCUGUUCUUAUUUGUUUUUGAUCUAGAAGAAGAUUUGGAGACAGUUUUGGAAGGAAGACCCUGGUUAUUUCGUAAGAACAUUAUUCUAUUUGAUCGACUGACUAGAUCGAUUGCGAGAGAUUAGAUUUGUCUUAUUCAUUCACCGUUCUGGAUCAAAAUUGGUACGUACUUACCAGAAUUUGAUAGGAAGGAUUUAAUGCAUGCUAUAGGCAGUACUUUUGGGGGAAUUUUGAGGUCUGAAAUUAAUGGUGAUAAUUGUAGACUUAGUUAACCUGAAUGUACAGAAACCUCUUUGGAGAGGGAUUUUUGUCUUAAGUGAUAACAGGGUAAAAUCGUGGAUUUCUUUCAAAUAUGAGAAAUUGCCGAUUUUCUGUUUCAGGUACAGUAGAAUGGGGCAUAGUCUCACUGACAAAAUUAAAUGAUCCACCAUACUCUAUAGCAUUGAAAACCGAAUCAAAUUUGGCAGGGAAGGAGAGUAUAAAAUUAAAUGCUUUUGCAAAAAGACGGGUACUCAAGCUUCUUACAUAGGUACAAUGGUAAAAGAACCAGAUGAUAAUGACAUGGCUGCAGAAUAUAUAGUUUUGCAAGGAGAGGUAAUAGGCGGAAGGCAAUUGGCAAGCUGGUUGGAAGGGUUACAGGAACAGGAGUCAGGUUGUAAUAAGUUGGAGAUUGGCGCGGUGAAUGCUAGCAAUAUGGAGAUGGGCAGAUCUCUAGUCGCACUUAAGAAGUCUAGUUGGAGAAGAUUAAUUCCAGCAAAUCAGUCUGAAAACUGGAGGUAAGAAAGUUUGGGGGGGAAUAGAAAAUUUCCAGAAUUGGCUGAUGGAAAAAACGAUACAGAAGUGUCAGAUGGGGAUGGAGUAAAGAGGUUGAAAGUGGAAUAGCUAGCGGUUAGAAGAGAGGCUCAAAGCUGUAAAAUGAUGGAUGUUACAGUAUAUAAUGUGAUGCCAAGUGAAUUAGGAUCGGCGGCUACCAACAAGUCAGCCUACUGGACACAAUGAAAAACUUAUGCUGGAAUGUCUGUGGAUUGGGGAGUCCACGAGUAGUACGGAGGCUGCGGCAUUUAUUUAAGCAGCAUAAUCCCCAUAUGGUCUUCUUAAUGGAGACGAAAUUAGACAAAAAAACGUAUGGAAAAAGUUAGAAGGAGCUGUGGUUUUUUUAGUAGAAUUGAAGUAGAAGCAGAGAGGAUUCGUGGAGGAUUGUGUUUAGCAUGGAAGAGUGACGUCAAGGUAAAUGUACAGAGCUUUUCUAAGUGGCAGAUUGAUGUUCUGAUUCAGGAGAAUGAUAGCCAAGAAGAGUAGAGAUUUACGGGGUUCUAUGAUUCACCAUAUCUAAAAAACAAGAGUAACGUAUGGGAUUUGCUCAGAAGAUUAGGCCUAGAAGAUAAUCAUCCCUGGCUUGUUGCUGGAGAUUUCAACGAAAUUUUGUAUUCUUUAAAGAAAUCUGGGGGAGUUCAAAGAGAUCAGAGGAGGAUGGAGGCAUUUAGGGAGGUUUUGGAGGAGUGUCAAUUAAUGGAUAUUGGUUACAUGGGGGUUUGGUUUACUUGGGAGAGAGGUAAUAUGCCAGAAACAAACAUAAGGGAGAGGCUGGAUAGAGGGGUCGCAAAUGAAAAGUUGUUAACUUUAUUUCCAAUGGGCAGUAUACAACAUCUUCCUUAUUUAACAUCAGAUCACUGUCCCAUUCUCCUUAAUACAGAAAGUGACAAUACUGCCAAAAGAAGUCAAAGAUUUCAUUUUGAGGCCUGGUGGACCGUAGAGGAGACAAUCGAACUCGUAAUCAAGGAAUCUUGGGAGUCUACUACAGGUCCGUUAAUUGAGAAACUAGAAGGAUUACAAGCUCGAUUGGAAAUAUGGGCAAGCAACAUUAAAAGGAAAAAGGUAGAGUCUGAAAAGGAAGUUAACCAAGGAGCUCAACAGUUUGGUAGAGAAGGAAAGGGAUGAUGAAACGCUAGCACGGAUUAUCGACACAAAAAUCCACCUUAAUAUGGAGAUAGAUAAAGGCUAAUUGUACUGGGAGCAACGAGCCAGAUACAUUUGGCUCUAAUUUGGGGUUAGAAUUACGGCCUAUUUCCAUAAAAUUGCGUCAGCUCAUAGGAGAGCUAACACAAUUUCUAAGCUGGUUUCGGAUGCCGAGAGGGAAAUUACGAAUGAGCUAGAGACUAAUGAGAAUGCCACUUGGUUUUUUUAAGAGCUCUUCACAACAACGGCAAGUGGUGACCCAAGUCAUUUGCUAACAUGCAUUGAUGGUAGCAUCUCUCACAAGGAGAAUGAAUUCUUAUUAUCUCCAUUUAGAGAAGAAGAGAUUUGGAUGGCAUUAAAAGGGAUGGGGCCCACCAAAGCACUAGGACCGGAUGGGUUUCCAGCAAUGGUUUUUCAAAAGUAUUAGCAUAUUGUAGGUAAGGAUAUCAUUGAUUUCUGUUUGGGGAUUCUGAAUAAUAACAAAGAGGUGGCGUCAUUGAAUAACACGAACAUUAUGCUUAUUCCAAAACUUCCAAAUCCCACUAAACUUGCGAAUUUCAGACCCAUCAGCCUAUGCACAUUCAUGUACAAAAUCGUGGCAAAAACGCAAGAGGUCAUUGGUAAACGUGUUGACAAGGUACAGAGUGCUUUUGUCCUGGGAGACUCAUCUCAGACAAUGUGAUUUUAGCUUAUGAAUUUUUUCACACUUUCCGACAAAACCGUACAGGGAAAAAAAGAUUUAUGGCAGUGAAGCUGGACAUGAGUAAGGCAUAUGACAGAGUUGAGUGAAAUUUUAUAAAAGAAAUAAUGUUAAAAAUGAGGUUUGCAAGCGAAUGAGUCAGACUCAUAAUGAGAUGCAUUACAACAGUCUCUUACGCAGUUAAUAUUAAUGGUUAGAGGGGGUAGGCUUUUUCAACCGACUAGGGGGCUACGACAAGGUGACCCACUAAGUCUGUUUCUUUUUCUUAUAUGCAGUGAGGGUCAUUCAUUGUUGUUGAGAAUCGCGAAGCAUGAGAACGGUUGAAGGGCGUAAAAGUUAGUAGGAGAGGGCCAGAGCUAACUCACUUAUUAUUCGCAGAUGAUUGCAUGAUGUUUGGUGAAGCAACACUAAAGGGGGCAAUAAUUCUAAAGGAUAUACUCAAGGAAAAUGAAAGCUGUUCAGGUCAAUGUGUGAACUUUGGAAAAUCAACGAUUUUUUAUAGUUCGAUUACUACAGAUGACAGAAAAGAAGAAGUGUCUUCAUUGCUAGGAGUUAGGAUCUCACCAAAUCCAGAAAAGUACCUGGGACUUCCCAAUGUGGUUGGUACACGGAAAAAAGAGUCGUUUCAGAAUUUAUUGGACAAAGUAUCCGUGCGAUUGGAAGGUUAGAGCACUAGAUUUUUGUCCCAAUGGGGCAAGGAGGUAUUUAUCAAAUUAGUAUUAUAGGCUGUACCAACAUAUACUAUGUCCUAUUUUCUCCUACCUAACACUUUAUGUGGGAGGUUUGAAAGCAUUUUCACUAAGUUUUGGUGGCAAAAAGGGUUUGGGAAGAGAGGAAUCCAUUGGUGUCAGUGGAAACAUUUGUGUCGACCUAAAAAUGGAGGAGGAUUGGGGUUUAGGAAUAUGGCCCAAUUCAACAUAGCUCUUUUGGCAAAACAAGGAUGGAGACUCCUAGUUAAUCCAAAUUCAUUAGUUGCGCAAGUUUUGAAAGCAAAGUAUUUUACAGAAAAUGAUUUUAUUAAUUCGAGGUUGGGGAAUCAGAGUUUGUAUGCAUAGUGCAGUAUAUGGGCGGCGAAGGGUUUAUUGGAGAAAGGCCUAAUUUGGAAGGUUGGUACGGGUACUAGUAUUUCAAUUAGAAAUGAUAUAUGGAUUCCAGAUUUUAGGAGUUUAAGGUUAUCGACCGUUAAUGGUGAUUUGCGUGUUGAUUUAGUUGCUGAGCUAAUCAAUAAUAAUGAAAGAAAUUGGAGUAGAGAACUGAUAGCCAAUACCUUCCCAGAAGAAGUAGCUGAACUGAUCCUUCAUAUCCCUUUGGCGAUGGAACCUCAUAGUGAUUUUCUGGCUUGGACCGGAGAACCUUCAGGAGAGUAUACAGUUCGGAGCGCCUACAAACUAUUACAAAGUGGGGAUCCUAGAGCUUAUGCUGUACAGAACGUCUAUAGUGGUUUUUACAAAAAAAACUUUGGUGCCUAGAUCUACCUACUAAGAUUAAAAUUACAAUUUGGAAAAUUACUUGGAACUAUCUGCCUACUCGGGUAAACAUGCAACUUAGGAGACCAGCAAACAACACAACAUGCUCUCGAUGUGGUGUGGAAGUAGAAACAAUGGAUCACCUGUUUCGCAAAUGCUAUGUGUCAGUGGCAGUGUGGGAAACACUGCCUGUAUUUAAUUUUACACAGUGAACCUAGAGUUUGAGUAGUGGCUUACCUAAGUGUUUGACUCUCUCUCAUGAUCAGUGUAGAAUUUUCUGUAGUGCGCUUUGGGUCAUUUGUGGAGACCGAAACGCUCGGAUACAUGAAAACACAAACAGACCAGGUCAGGAGAUAGCAAAAUAUGUUCCAAGUUACCUACAAGAACUGAAGGGGGCUGGUAGAAAUACCCAUAUUACUCCUAAUGUUGAAAUUAAGUGGACUCAUCCAUCUGGGUAGGCUGUUAAAAUAAAAUUUGACGGGGAUUUUAACGAGAGGAAUCACCAAUCGGCGUCAGGAAUUGUGGUCAGAGACAGUAAGGGCCUCGUUAUCAUUUCUUGUUCAGAACUCCACAGAGGGGUGGCUUCUCUUCUUGCUGCGGAAGCUCUAGCUUGUCGAAGGGCUACCCAGAUUGGCCUCGAAAUGCAAAGAUCAGAAGCCAUUAUAGAAGGUGAUUCACUAUCGAUAAUAAAGAAAUGCAAGGAAAUAAAGCUAGAUAAAUCGCAAAUAGGGGCUUACAUUCACGAUAUUCAAGAGAUGAAGUCUAGAGCCCGUAAGUUAAGAUUUGAGUAUAUCCCAAGAUCAGCGAAUGGUCUAGCCCAUAUUUUAACAACAGAAUCGCUGAAGAGGAAAGAAGAGAUGUAUCUGAUUGAAAGUUUACCAGGUUAUGCAGAAGGUCUGAUGAGAAGGGAGAGGGUAAAAGAACCAGAUUGAAGAAAUAAAGAGAAGGAAGAAAGGGGAAGAGUCUCAAAACAAAACAGAUCAGUAGUCUUUGUGAUAAGACCCCCUUGGGAACUGACGUCGCCAUUAAAGAUAGAAGUGACAGAUGAGAUGGAAAGUCAGGCGUCAGAAUAUCUGAUUGGGCAAGUAGGCAGUGGCUUAAAUGACUUCUUUAGAUUUUUCUCUUAGAAGUAGAUCUGUUUUUUUUUCUUGUUAAUGAUUUAUUUAGUUUCUUUUCAAAGUGGAUUGGUUUUUUCACGGGCCAAAUUUUGUCUUGGG
rnacentral:lncRNA from 1 species